rnacentral:tRNA from 1 species
GGGCCCGUAGCUCAGUGGUAGAGCGGUCGGCUCAUAACCGAUUGGUCGUAGGUUCGAUCCCUGCCGGGCCCACCA